AUUGAACGCUGGCGGCAGGCCUAACACAUGCAAGUCGAGCGAGAGGCGGACGGGUGAGUAAUGUCUGGGAAACUGCCCGAUGUAGGGGGAUAACUACUGGAAACGGUAGCUAAUACAGCAUACCAUCAGAUGUGCCCAGAUGGGGUUAGCUGGUAGGUGUGGUAACGGCUCACCUAGGCGACGAUCCCUAGCUGGUCUGAGAGGAGGACCAGCCACACUGGAACUGAGACACGGUCCAGACUCCUACGGGAGGCAGCAGUGGGGAAUAUUGCACAAUGGGCGCAAGCCUGAUGCAGCCAUGCCGCGUGUGUGAAGAAGGCCUUCGGGUUGUAAAGCACUUUCAGCGGGGAGGCGGUACCCGCAGAAUAAGCACCGGCUAACUCCGUGCCAGCAGCCGCGGUAAUAC
rnacentral:rRNA from 1 species